AGACUAAGCUAAACAUUGUAUUAGGUUCGUUUUUAGCAUUGUAAGCAACAGAAGUUAUUAAUUUGCACACAAACAAAUGUUUUACAACUUGUACUCUUGUGCAAUUUUUGUCAAGAUGUCCAGUUAGAAGCUAGCUGAAAAGUUCGUAGCCAGUCGUGGGCAGUUCAGGCUAUGCUGUAGUGAAAGGAGUGCUGCUUGCAAGGAAAGUACUCGUUUUAGUCAGUUAUUAAAAGAAUGACCCAGGUUCCUGAGGAGCUGACCUGAAUGACCAUCAUGGCCUCGAUCCGUUGUGCCUCUAUAUUCUUUGCAAAAUGCAAUGAAUAUUUACAGAGCUGACCAUGGCCGUUUGAGAAUCAGAGGAAUGGAAAGGCAAUGAAGUGACUUGGCCUACAGGUCUUUUGUGAGCAGGAGCUGGGGUUUCCUUAGAAGAAGCGUCUGUGUCAUGAUCCCUUCGUGUGUGGUGCUACGCAUAUGGAGGGAGCUUCCGGAUACUUCAGGGCAGUACGUUGGAUUCAGACCCCUUUUCGACUGAACCGUGACACAUGUUCAGCAACAGCAUCCUCCAUGGAAGGUCUGUCAAGCUGAGCACACAAGUCCUGGGGCACAGGAAUCCGCUGGACGGCAUCCCAAUAAGGAAGAGGGUCUUUGAUCUCGAAGAGGACA